rnacentral:rRNA from 1 species
UACGGAGGGUGCAAGCGUUAUCCGGAUUCACUGGGUUUAAAGGGUGCGUAGGUGGGUCUGUAAGUCAGUGGUGAAAUCUCCAAGCUUAACUUGGAAACUGCCGUUGAUACUAUAGACCUUGAAUGCUGUGGAGGUGAGCGGAAUAUGUCAUGUAGCGGUGAAAUGCUUAGAUAUGACAUAGAACACCAAUUGCGAAGGCAGCUCACUAAACUUAUAUUGACGCUGAGGCACGAAAGCGUGGGGAUCAAACAGG